AACGAACGCUGGCGGCAGGCUUAACACAUGCAAGUCGAACGGUUGUAGCAAUACAGCAGUGGCAGACGGGUGAGUAACACGUGGGAACCUUCCUAGAGGUACGGAACAACGCAGGGAAACUUGCGCUAAUAACGUAUACGCUCUUGCGAGGAAAGGUUUAUCGCCUUUAGACGGGCCCGCGUCGGAUUAGCUGGUUGGUGAGGUAACGGCUCACCAAGGCGACGAUCCGUAGCUGAUCUGAGAGGAUGAUCAGCCACACUGGGACUGAGAAACGGCCCAGACUCCUACGGGAGGCAGCAGUGGGGAAUCUUGGACAAUGGGCGCAAGCUUGAUCCAGCCAUGCCGCGUGAGUGAAGAAGGCCUUCGGGUUGUAAAGCUCUUUUGUCAGGGACGAUAAUGACGGUACCUGAAGAAUAAGCCCCGGCAAACUUCGUGCCAGCCGCCGCUGUAA
rnacentral:rRNA from 1 species